rnacentral:rRNA from 1 species
UACGUAGGCAGCGAGCGUUGUUCGGAAUUACUGGGCGUAAAGGGGUGCGUAGGCGGUCCUAUAAGUAUGGUGUGAAAUCUCCCGGCUUAACUGGGAGGGUGCGCUAUAGACUGUGGGACUAGAGUGUGGGAGAGGAAAGUGGAAUUCCUGGUGUAGCGGUGAAAUGCGUAGAUAUCAGGAGGAACACCGGUGGUGUAAACGGCUUUCUGGACCAUAACUGACGCUGAGGCACGAAAGCGUGGGUAGCAAACAGG